rfam:Oryza sativa (indica cultivar-group) chromosome 6, whole genome shotgun sequence.
GCGCAUACGGUGGAUGCCUUGGCAGUCAGAGGCGAUGAAAGACGUGGUAGCCUGCGAUAAGCUUCGGGGAGUCGGCAAACAGACUUUGAUCCGGAGAUCUCUGAAUGGGGGAACCCACCUAGGAUAACCUAGGUAUCUUGUACUGAAUCCAUAGGUGCAAGAGGCGAACCAGGGGAACUGAAACAUCUAAGUACCCUGAGGAAAAGAAAUCAACCGAGAUUCCCUUAGUAGUGGCGAGCGAACGGGGAUUAGCCCUUAAGCUUCUUGGAUUUUAGCGGAACGCUCUGGAAAGUGCGGCCAUAGUGGGUGAUAGCCCCGUACGCGAAAGGGUCCUGGAAGUGAAAUCGAGUAGGACGGAGCACGUGAAACUUUGUCUGAACAUGGGGGGACCAUCCUCCAAGGCUAAAUACUACUGACUGACCGAUAGUGAACCAGUACCGUGAGGGAAAGGCGAAAAGAACCCCGGAGAGGGGAGUGAAAUAGAACCUGAAACCGUAUGCGUACAAGCAGUGGGAGCCUACUUUGUUAGGUGACUGCGUACCUUUUGUAUAAUGGGUCAGCGACUUAUAUUCAGUGGCGAGCUUAACCGAAUAGGGGAGGCGUAGCGAAAGCGAGUCUUAAUAGGGCGUUUAGUCGCUGGGUAUAGACCCGAAACCGGGCGAUCUAUCCAUGAGCAGGUUGAAGGUUAGGUAACACUGACUGGAGGACCGAACCGACUCCCGUUGAAAAGGUAGCGGAUGACUUGUGGAUCGGAGUGAAAGGCUAAUCAAGCUCGGAGAUAGCUGGUUCUCCUCGAAAGCUAUUUAGGUAGCGCCUCACGUAUCCACUCNNNNNNNNNNNNNNNNNNNNNNNNNNNNNNNNNNNNNNNNNNNNNNNNNNUGGAGCCGUAGGGAAACCGAAUCUUAAUAGGGUGUUGAGUUGCUGGCGCUAGACGCGAAGCCUUGUGAUCUACCCAUGACCAGGCUGAAGCGAAGGUAAAACUUCGUGGAGGGCCGAACCUUAUCAGGUUGAAAACUGACUGGAUGAGUUGUGGGUAGGGGUGAAAGGCCAAUCAAACUGGGUGAUAGCUCGUUCUCUCCGAAAUAUAUCUAGGUAUAGCGUCACAUUGGAGUCACGGGGGUAGAGCACUGAUUGGACUAGCGGGCACACCAGCUUAGCAAACCCAGCCAAACUCCGAAUACCGUUGACUUUAGAUUGUGGCAGUCAGCCUGCGUGAGAUAAGUUUCGCAGGCGAGAGGGGAACAACCCGGACCAUCGGCUAAGGUCCCCAAGUGAAUGCUCAGUGUAAAAGGAUGUGGGAUUACUCGGACAACCAGGAGGUUGGCUUAGAAGCAGCCAUCCUUUAAAGAAAGCGUAAUAGCUCACUGGUCAAGUCGUCCUGCGCGGAAGAUGUAACGGGGCUCAAACCACACACCGAAGCUGCGGGUGUCACGUAAGUGACGCGGUAGAGGAGCGUUCUGUAAGCCUGUGAAGGUGAGUUGAGAAGCUUGCUGGAGGUAUCAGAAGUGCGAAUGCUGACAUGAGUAACGACAAUGCGAGUGAAAAGCCCCCA